rnacentral:tRNA from 1 species
GGCAGUGGGAGAGUGGUUGGAGUGUUGGACUAGGACUCUGCAGACCAGGGUUCGAAUCCCGGCUCAGCCA